CAGGGUCCACGCUGACAACCCUGAUGCUGAGCUUGAACUCACGCAACGUGAGAUUAUGACCUGAGCCAAAGUCGAGAGUUGGUUGCUUAAUCGACUGGGCCCCCCAGGCCUCCCCUGGCCUGUGAGCUUCUUGAGGAUGAAACUGUGUCUCAUUGUUGUGUCACUAGCUCUGUUCACUGUGACAAGAUGGCCGUGUGUAGGUUUCUUAUCAGGCUUCGUUCAGGAAUGUGUUCCUCAAAAGGGAAAAGUGGGCAUCGAGAAAAGCUGACCUACUGGACGUUGGUGACUGGUUGGCCAAAUGUGCCAAGACCAGACCCCAAAUGAGAAAGACAGCUAGAAGGACAUAUGAGAAAGUUUGGGCCAAAGAGGGGAGGUAAGAGGUGUAAUGUCACCUGUUACUGGCACCAUUGGCCUAGAAUCGCCAAUCUGGCCUGUUAGUAAAACAAAACAAGACAAAAGUCCAUGGAACUCUGGCCAUCACAUAAAUACCUGGGAGAAGGACGCCUUUCUUCAUGAAAGAGUCCAGAAGCCAAGACAGAUGCUUCAGAAAAGCAUGUGGGUUGGCAAAGCCAAUGGUUGGUCUAUGGAGGGCCCGUUGGCGAUCUAAAGGCGUAAGGCCUUUUGGCAGUUUGGUAGCUUGUAAUGCGGACCCGGUUGCAAGAAGAGUGGCCCAACCAGGGAGUCUCGACUAGAAAGCCCUUGACAUCUGGGACUUCAGAGGCCUACAAGACCGAGUUCGCUGAAAGAAGCCAUUCCAAAAAUAAUCUUGUUACAUGGGACGGCAGAACAAUAUCCUUUCCUGAAGCGGCUUUGAUCGGAGAAGGUAUGCCUCGGAGGUGUUUAUUAUCUCCUCCUCAAGGACGCUGAGGACACCGAGGUACAGAGAAUUCAGUAACCAGCCCGAAGUCCUACAGCUAGUAGUUGAUGGAAGUCAGAUUGAAAUCGUUGCUGGUUUUGUGUCUAUCGUUGACUGCACUGUUCCUGCACUUGCAUGGGAGAGAGGAAGAGACAGAGCACAAGCAGGGGAGGGACAGAGAGAGAGGGAGACACAGAAU